GUUUGAUCCUGGCUCGAAUGAACGCUGGCGGCAGGCCUAACACAUGCAAGUCGAACGGAGUUAUAUUGUAGCUUGCUAUGGUAUAACUUAGUGGCAGACGGGUGAGUAAUGUAUAGGAAUCUACCUAGUAGUACGGAAUAAUUGUUGGAAACGGCAACUAAUACCGUAUACGCCCUACGGGGGAAAAAUUUAUUGCUAUUAGAUGAGCCUAUAUUAGAUUAGCUAGUUGGUGGAGUAAUAGCCUACCAAGGCAAUGAUCUAUAGCUGAUCUGAGAGGAUGAUCAGCCACACUGGAACUGAGAUACGGUCCAGACUCCUACGGGAGGCAGCAGUGGGGAAUAUUGGACAAUGGGCGAAAGCCUGAUCCAGCCAUGCCGCAUGAGUGAAGAAGGCCUUUGGGUUGUAAAGCUCUUUUAGUGAGGAAGAUAAUGACGGUACUCACAGAAGAAGUCCUGGCUAACUCCGUGCCAGCAGCCGCGGUAAUACGGAGAGGGCUAGCGUUAUUCGGAAUUAUUGGGCGUAAAGGGCGCGUAAGCGGAUUAGUAAGUUAAAAGUGAAAUCCCAAGGCUCAACCUUGGAAUUGCUUUUAAAACUGCUAAUCUAGAGAUUGAAAGAGGAUAGAGGAAUUCCUAGUGUAGAGGUGAAAUUCGUAAAUAUUAGGAGGAACACCAGUGGCGAAGGCGUCUAUCUGGUUCAAAUCUGACGCUGAGGCGCGAAGGCGUGGGGAGCAAACAGGAUUAGAUACCCUGGUAGUCCACGCUGUAAACGAUGAAUGUUAAAUAUGGGAAGUUUUACUUUCUGUAUUACAGCUAACGCGUUAAACAUUCCGCCUG
rnacentral:rRNA from 1 species